rnacentral:rRNA from 1 species
UGUUAAGUGGAAAAGGAUGUGGCGUUGCCCAGACAACUAGGAUGUUGGCUUAGAAGCAGCCAUCAUUUAAAGAGUGCGUAAUAGCUCACUAGUCGAGUGACACUGCGCCGAAAAUGUACCGGGGCUAAACAUAUUACCGAAGCUGUGGAUUGUCCUUUGGACAAUGGUAGGAGAGCGUUCUAAGGGCGUUGAAGCAUGAUCGUAAGGACAUGUGGAGCGCUUAGAAGUGAGAAUGCCGGUGUGAGUAGCGAAAGACGGGUGAGAAUCCCGUCCACCGAUUGACUAAGGUUUCCAGAGGAAGGCUCGUCCGCUCUGGGUUAGUCGGGUCCUAAGCUGAGGCCGACAGGCGUAGGCGAUGGAUAACAGGUUGAUAUUCCUGUACCACCUAUAAUCGUUUUAAUCGAUGGGGGGACGCAGUAGGAUAGGCGAAGCGUGCGAUUGGAUUGCACGUCUAAGCAGUAAGGCUGAGUAUUAGGCAAAUCCGGUACUCAUUAAGGCUGAGCUGUGAUGGGGAGAAGACAUUGUGUCUUCGAGUCGUUGAUUUCACACUGCCGAGAAAAGCCUCUAGAUAGAAAAUAGGUGCCCGUACCGCAAACCGACACAGGUAGUCAAGAUGAGAAUUCUAAGGUGAGCGAGCGAACUCUCGUUAAGGAACUCGGCAAAAUGACCCCGUAACUUCGGGAGAAGGGGUGCUCUUUAGGGUUAACGCCCAGAAGAGCCGCAGUGAAUAGGCCCAAGCGACUGUUUAUCAAAAACACAGGUCUCUGCUAAACCGUAAGGUGAUGUAUAGGGGCUGACGCCUGCCCGGUGCUGGAAGGUUAAGAGGAGUGGUUAGCUUCUGCGAAGCUACGAAUCGAAGCCCCAGUAAACGGCGGCCGUAACUAUAACGGUCCUAAGGUAGCGAAAUUCCUUGUCGGGUAAGUUCCGACCCGCACGAAAGGCGUAACGAUUUGGGCACUGUCUCAACGAGAGACUCGGUGAAAUCAUAGUACCUGUGAAGAUGCAGGUUACCCGCGACAGGACGGAAAGACCCCGUGGAGCUUUACUGUAGCCUGAUAUUGAAAUUCGGCACAGCUUGUACAGGAUAGGUAGGAGCCUUUGAAACGUGAGCGCUAGCUUACGUGGAGGCGCUGGUGGGAUACUACCCUAGCUGUGUUGGCUUUCUAACCCGCACCACUUAUCGUGGUGGGAGACAGUGUCAGGCGGGCAGUUUGACUGGGGCGGUCGCCUCCUAAAAGGUAACGGAGGCGCUCAAAGGUUCCCUCAGAAUGGUUGGAAAUCAUUCAUAGAGUGUAAAGGCAUAAGGGAGCUUGACUGCGAGACCUACAAGUCGAGCAGGGUCGAAAGACGGACUUAGUGAUCCGGUGGUUCCGCAUGGAAGGGCCAUCGCUCAACGGAUAAAAGCUACCCCGGGGAUAACAGGCUUAUCUCCCCCAAGAGUUCACAUCGACGGGGAGGUUUGGCACCUCGAUGUCGGCUCAUCGCAUCCUGGGGCUGUAGUCGGUCCCAAGGGUUGGGCUGUUCGCCCAUUAAAGCGGUACGCGAGCUGGGUUCAGAACGUCGUGAGACAGUUCGGUCCCUAUCCGUCGUGGGCGUAGGAAAUUUGAGAGGAGCUGUCCUUAGU